AUUGAACGCUGGCGGCAGGCCUAACACAUGCAAGUCGAGGGACCGGCGCACGGGUGAGUAACACGUAUCCAACCUGCCCUUUACUCGGGGAUAGCCUUUCGCAAGAAAGAUUAAUACCCGAUAUAAAGGAUGGGGAUGCGUUCCAUUAGGUUGUUGGUGAGGGAACGACUCACCAAGCCUUCGAUGGAUAGGGGUUCUGAGAGGAAGGUCCCCUAGAUUGGAACUGAGGCACGGUCCAAACUCGGACGGGAGGGAGCAGUGAGGAAUAUUGGUGAAUGAGCGCUAACCUGACCCAGCCAAGUAGCGGGAAGGAUGAAGGCUUAUGGGUCGUAAACUUCUUUUAUAGAAGAAUAUGUAUUAUAUGAAUAAGGAUCGGCUAACUCCGUGCCAGCAGCCGCGGUAAUUC
rnacentral:rRNA from 1 species